UGGAGCAGCAGCUGCAGCAUCUGCUCCUGGCUGUCCCUCAGUAGCCACCUUCUGCACUCAGCGCCACAGCUGGCCUCUGCAGCGACAUCCUCAUCUCCUCGUCUGCCGCCAGGCAUCCCCACAGCACUUUGGCACUGUGCAAGGUGGAAAGGAGAGGCACAAUGAAAAGGAAAGCGAGAGCCCACACUGAGCCACACAUCAAUGUUGGCAGUGACUUUCAGGCCGAGCUCCCCGAGCUGCAGACCGGGCCGCCAAGUGAGGCUGAAGAGCCUGCAACCCUGGUCUGGAAGCCCUUGGAGGAAGACGACCCUGACCUGGAUAAACCGGACAGUGGUAGCUGUCCUUCCACUCCUGAGAUAGUCGGGCAUGUAAAAUGCUGGUUUUUGGGUAAAAUGGCAGCUUUUGGCAGGCUCUGCUUCUCUCCUUGUCAUGCCCAUCUUCCCUUGUGGAAGUGGUAGGGGCAAGGAGAAUGCUCUGCUUUUGCAGCAGAGCAGGAAAAAGAGCAACUGUGCUGCUCUCCAAAUGGGUCAGGGGCAUCUGCCACUGGAAGAGGGGAGAUUGGCCCCCACUCCUUAUGCCAAAAGCUGCUUGGAAGGGAGAGGCAGCACUAGGUGGGCCCUUGCUUCAGCUUCCCCUUGCUUUGCUCUCCUUUUCGUGCUCUCCAAGCUGCAGGCUUUAGCUCUUGUGCUUUCCUCCUGCCUUGUAUGGCAAGCAUUCCCCUUUGUUGGCUCAAGGCUGACUUUGGGUGGGUUUUUGUUGUGCUUGCAGUCAGAGAACUGUUGGACAUGGCCAGCUCCCGUGGCCUCCCCGGGGCAGCAGCUCAGCUGGAGCUCGCC